CUUCCUCUCACCACGCAGGCGUGUUAUCACCCCACAGCGUCACCAGAAGAAGGAUUGUAUUUGGCCUCAAGAGAAAUGUGUGCAGGAUUUAGAAGGUGGAAAUGAAGUGGCCAUUUUUAUGCUCAGAUGGCUAUUCAUACUUGAAGGACCAGCUGUGAAACACAUGGAGCUUUGACUCUAUACUAGUCUUGGAGGAAGCAAAUGGAAUGUACCAACCUGGGCUA